AAAAACCACAAUUACUUUUGCACCA
rnacentral:miRNA from 1 species